AUUGAACGCUAGCGGCAUGCUUUACACAUGCAAGUCGAACGGAGUGGCAGACGGGUGAGUAAUAUAUCGGAACGUGCCCAGUAGGGGGGGAUAACUACUCGAAAGAGGGGCUAAUCCCGCAUACUAUGGUGUGGGCCGAUAGCGGAUUAGCUAGUUGGGGGGGUAAAGGCUCACCAAGGCAACGAUCCGUAGCUGGUGUGAGAGGACGACCAGCCACACUGGGACUGAGACACGGCCCAGACUCCUACGGGAGGCAGCAGUGGGGAAUUUUGGACAAUGGGUGAAACCCUGAUCCAGCCAUCCCGCGUGUAUGAUGAAGGCCUUCGGGUUGUAAAGUACUUUUGGCAGAGAAGCGGUAUCUGCAGAAUAAGCACCGGCUAACUACGUGCCAGCAGCCGCGGUAAUUC
rnacentral:rRNA from 1 species